rnacentral:rRNA from 1 species
UAAAGAUUCAUCGCUGAUAGAUAGGCAUGCGUUCCAUUAGGCAGUUGGCGGGGUAACGGCCCACCAAACCGACGAUGGAUAGGGGUUCUGAGAGGAAGGUCCCCCACAUUGGUACUGAGACACGGACCAAACUCCUACGGGAGGCAGCAGUGAGGAAUAUUGGUCAAUGGGCGCGAGCCUGAACCAGCCAAGUCGCGUGAGGGAUGAAGGUUCUAUGGAUCGUAAACCUCUUUUAUAAGGGAAUAAAGUGUGGGACGUGUCCUAUUUUGUAUGUACCUUAUGAAUAAGGAUCGGCUAACUCCGUGCCAGCAGCCGCGGUAAUACGGAGGAUCCGAGCGUUAUCCGGAUUUAUUGGGUUUAAAGGGUGCGUAGGCGGCCUUUUAAGUCAGCGGUGAAAGUCUGUGGCUCAACCAUAGAAUUGCCGUUGAAACUGGGGGGCUUGAGUAUGUUUGAGGCAGGCGGAAUGCGUGGUGUAGCGGUGAAAUGCUUAGAUAUCACGCAGAACCCCGAUUGCGAAGGCAGCCUGCCAAGCCAUGACUGACGCUGAUGCACGAAAGCGUGGGGAUCAAACAGGAUUAGAUACCCUGGUAGUCCACGCAGUAAACGAUGAGUACUAGCUGUUUGCGAUACAGUGUAA